UUUUGUUUUAAUUUUAAUAUUGAUUUUUGUUUUUUUUUUCAGGUAAUAAGGCAAACACAGUUUUGCAAAUUUAUUCCACAUAUUAACUGAUACAAUAUUGAUACAAGUCAGAGUUCUAACAGUACGGACAUGCUAUGUGGUCGAAAUACAAAAAAGUUUAGUAGUACAGCGAUAAUAAUAAACAUUGCAGAAAUCCUGAACUUUACAUUACUACUUCUUCACACUAAUGUAUUUUAAAGGGACAUAUGUAAUAAAAAUAAAGCAAAAAACUAAAGCAGGAACACAGUCGGGAAAUGUUAUCGAUUACAGGUGUUCUAUUAUUUUAGCCGUAAUUGAUAGUCGUCGAGUUCGAUUCAUUCCAUAAAUUCUUUCUCGUGUAACCUAAGUUGUAAGUAUGUCAAAAAACAACAGUCAAACUCCUUAUAAUAUAAUAAUUACUGCUAAAAUACACAUCACAUCGCAAAAUGCGUUCGCAGGAAUAAAAUAUAUCGAAUAACAUGUAUUAAAAAAAACAGACAGUCGGCGGGUCGGCGACCCGACGCGCGGCCGCAAACAGGCAACCGCGGCCGCGCGCCCUUACAAAAAAAAUAAAGUAUAUAUUAAAUAUAUACGGCUAAUACGACAGUGAAAACAUAAGCAUAACGGGAAACUUACAUUCGAAACAUUUCAUAACGUCCUACUUUAAGAUUUUUACGGAAUCGUCGCGAUACAAAAUCGAAAACGUGAAAAUCAAAUAAAAAAAAACACAUAUAGAAAAAAGUGGACCGGUCCGCUCGCUAGGUCGGGCGGGCCGGGCGUACGCGUAAACGUGACCGUCUCACGCUGCGGAGCGUGCGCGGCGCGCGGCGCGGGCGAGGUGCUCCCCUGCGCAGCUUGUAGUGUCUCCGGGACAGGGGCUCGCGCGGGCGCGCGGCGCGGGCGGGGCGGGGCUAGCUGCCCCCCGCCCAGCCGCGCGCCGCCGCCGCCGCCGCGCCCAGCCGCCGCUUGCUCUCCCCCCCAGCGUUCUGCUGACCCCCGUCGUGUUUACGUUUACCUGCAACACCACGCCGCCUCUGCACUACACUGCACUCCUGCCGCCACUCGCUAUCACUGAGACCAUUCUCAUAAAUACCUAUGUUGUAACACACGAAAGCCUGACACAAGAUAAUUACGGCAGUGUGACCAGAUUUCAUUUAUCGAAUCUACUGCUUGAAGAGGUUAAAUACUACUAAAUUCUACCAAAAAAGAACGAGAAAAUACUAAAAAUCUAUGACA
rnacentral:misc_RNA from 1 species